rnacentral:lncRNA from 1 species
GAGGUUUGGUCACCUAAUUGCGCGCCAAUAGGGAGAAAUCCUUAUUGGAAAGCCCCUCUUUCCUGGGAACAACCUGGUUGUUAAAUAUUAUGAGUUAUAAUAUUAAUGAUGAAUAAAUUCGUGUUGAUUAAAGAUGAAUUUGAUAGUUCCAUUGAGUUGGGAUUAUUUGUGUUAGUAUAAAUCAACAUCUAUUCCGAGGAUAAUUGAUGUCUGGAGGUUAUAUUGUUCAAUCGGGUAUUCGGAACACUUUUU